ensembl:lncRNA
AAGGAAGGAGGAGAGGUAGGGCAGAAGAGAAAGGAGGUUGAGGGAGAGAAAAUAGGUGGAGUAGGAGAAAAAAAGAGGUGGAGUAUGAGAAAAAAGAGGCGGAGUAGGAGAGAAAAGAGGUGGAGUAUGAGAGAAAAGAGGUGGAGUAGGAGAGAAAAGAGGUGGAGUAGGAGAGAAAAGAGGUGGAGUAGGAGAGGAAAGGGGUGGAUUAGGAGAGAAAAGGGAAGGAUUAGGAGAGAAAAGAGGUGGAGUAUGAGAGAAAAUAGGUGGAGUAGGAGAGAAAGGAGGUGGAGUAUGAUAGAAAAGGGGUGGAUUAGGAGAGAAAAGAGGUGGAGUAGAAGAGAAAAGAGGUGGAGUAUGAGAGAAAAGAGGUGGAGUAUGAGAGAAAAGAGGUGGAGUAGGAGAGAAAAGAGGUGGAGUAUGAAAGAAAAGAGGUGGAGUAGGAGAGAAAAGAGGUGGAGUAGGAGAGAAAAGAGGUGGAGUAUGAAAGAAAAGAGGUGGAG